rnacentral:rRNA from 1 species
AGAGUGAACGCUGGCGGUAGGCCUAACACAUGCAAGUCGAACGGCAGCACAGUAGGAGCUUGCUCUUACGGGUGGCGAGUGGCGGACGGGUGAGGAAUACAUCGGAAUCUACCUUUUGGUGGGGGAUAACGUAGGGAAACUUACGCUAAUACCGCAUACGCCCUUCGGGGGAAAGCCGGGGACCAGCAAUGGCCUGGUGCUGAUAGAUGAGCCGAUGUCGGAUUAGCUAGUUGGUGAGGUAAUGGCUCACCAAGGCGACGAUCCGUAGCUGGUCUGAGAGGAUGAUCAGCCACACUGGAACUGAGACACGGUCCAGACUCCUACGGGGAGCAGCAGGUGGGGAAUAUUGGACAA